CUUCACUUCUUCUCUCCCUUCCUUUCCAAUGACUUGAUCUUUCUAAUCAUUUGAUCUAAUCUCUUGAUCUUUCUAAUCAUUCGCCUUCCCCAACUCUGAAUCUCAUCACCUCUCUCUUUCUUUUCUCAUCUCACCCCCUUCCUUCCUCUCUUCCUCUUAACCAAUAAAGUCCUAUUUGUUGGAGUCUGUAAAGUCCCUUACAUUUCUCUAGGAGUGCGUGUUGCCCAGUGACUGCCCAGUGAAUUUAACUCUGAAGAGGAGAAAACUGAGGUAUGGAACUUGGAAGGGGUUUCUUUACAGCUGGGAAGGCAAGCAAUGAGCAUUUAUUAACUCUGUGCCAGACACAAUACAAGUAAGAAGAAAGUUCCUGCCUUUGAAGAGCUUACAUUCAUUCUACAGGGAGAAGAAGGGGAGCUGAAAAUCAGGGGGAUUGGCUGGGAGCAGGGAGAAGGUAUCCCCUUACCUGUAGGUAAGGAUGUAGAAUGAGUCCAUGGCAGAAUCAGAAUUUAGAAUCCUAGAACUAGAAGGGACUUCAGAACAUUUUGUCCAAACUUCUUCUCACACAGAAAAGAAAGGAUUGAUGAAGGUCACACAGCUAGUGUGUGUCUUCAUCAUACCCAGAAGCCUGCGGGUGUUCUCCCCCUGGGAACCAACCAUCUGGCUUUCUCUCCAUCCCGGUGAGUUAAGUGGUGCAAAUAUCUUACAGAAGAUGAAGAAAGAAAGAAAGAGUCUCAAAGAAGCAAAUGACAUACUACUCAGAGACCCUAGAGCUGGGUCUCAAACCCGUCUUUUCCAGCUUGAAAUCUAAAGUAAAAACACUAGGCUUAUGAACCAGCCCAAGUGAGAAACAUCUAAAGAGAGAAGCUCAUUUCCUGAGGGUGAGGUAUUUGCCCUCGUGGAAGAGGAAAAAGUCUUCUUGGGAAAACUAAUAAUAGACAUGUAGCCCUCUGCAAAAUCCAGUGGGGCCUCAUUUUACACCAACUCAACAGACUUGAAUUCUGGUAUAUGCAAAUGGAAAUAAAAAUGAUAAUAGCAG
rnacentral:lncRNA from 1 species